rnacentral:rRNA from 1 species
CCAGACUCCUACGGGAGGCAGCAGUGGGGAAUAUUGGACAAUGGACCGAGAGUCUGAUCCAGCAAUUCUGUGUGCACGAUGACGUUUUUCGGAAUGUAAAGUGCUUUCAGUUGGGAAGAAAAAAAUGACGGUACCAACAGAAGAAGUGACGGCUAAAUACGUGCCAGCAGCCGCGGUAAUACGUAUGUCACAAGCGUUAUCCGGAUUUAUUGGGCGUAAAGCGCGUCUAGGUGGUUAUGUAAGUCUGAUGUGAAAAUGCAGGGCUCAACUCUGUAUUGCGUUGGAAACUGUAUAACUAGAGUACUGGAGAGGUAAGCGGAACUACAAGUGUAGAGGUGAAAUUCGUAGAUAUUUGUAGGAAUGCCGAUGGGGAAGCCAGCUUACUGGACAGAUACUGACGCUGAAGCGCGAAAGCGUGGGUAGCAAACAGGAUUAGAUACCCUGGUAGUCCACGCCGUAAACGAUGAUUACUAGGUGUUGGGGGUCGAACCUCAGCGCCCAAGCAAACGCGAUAAGUAAUCCGCCUGGGGAGUACGUACGCAAGUAUGAAACUCAAAGGAAUUGACGGGGGCCCGCACAAG